CGCGUUGCGCGGCUGUGGAAUUCUCUUACCCUUCUCGCUCAUGCUCGUCGCCCUCCGCUCCAUGGCCUCCGUCUCCAACAACACCAGCGCCAAGGAGCGUACCAAAGAGCCUGCCGUGAAAGGCCUUCGUCAGAUUCUUCGAAAGGUUAUUCGAGACAUGCUCCAGGAUUCUGUUAUGGUUGGAGUCCUUGCUACGUUCCCCUUCCUGCUGCUCAUGUGUGCUGGUGCUCUGGUGACGGGUGAGUCGCCUGUGAAAGAAUCUCGGAGGGCGAUGAUCGGUUCUAUAUUGGUCGAUGUGGGGUUACUGGGCGCCAACGCGAUACAUUGUUUCAUCAUCUUACCCAUUACAAUACUGAGGAUAUGGAGGAUGAAGUAUUGAGGUGACGCUGUUGUGCUGUUUAGUGACUGCUAUGCAAACGGUUUUGGAAAGGUGCUAUGGAGUUUACAAGUACAACAAGACCCAGGGAUUCUACUAUUAGGAAUGUAUUGCUCAUCACUUUCUGAACUACUCUCGGCAUGUUAUGUAACUUAUCGCUACCUCUAGCAACUAGACUACAAGCGGACCAAAGGGAUUCUACUGUUAGGAAUGUACUGCUCUUCAUUUUCGGAACCACUCUAGC